AUAAUACCAACAACACGCUUUUAGUACUUCUUUUUUAUGUGUGUGGGUGACUUCUCUACUCGGGUCGGGUCAAUAAUGUAAUAUUGUCGUUCUAAUUUGAAUUUUAUUAGUCUUAAAACAGAAAAUUAGCCCCAUAACACGAUUUGAAUUUUAGGGCAUAAUCUGAUAACAAAAGUAACUACAAUGAAGCAAUCAUCCACAAUGAAAUGAGAUUCAAAACCCUAGCGCUGUGUAUAAUUUUGCUUAAUUGAGCUCGAAUCAAAGAUCAUGCCGAAAAAUCGCCGCCAUUUUCAAAGCUUCACCAGCUCUCUCUCAGUAAGUCUUUCGGAGGAAAAGAACAAAUGAUCACCAUCUCGUAUCACGCUUAUAUCAUCAAUCUCUGCAUUCUCUGCGUUUACUAAUUUCGUAAGACUGCCGUCUCCGAAUUUUUCACCUGCAGUAUGAGAUGGAAGAGAUGAUCACAACGCGAAAUCUAUGAAUAUGCAAACGAAAGCGAAAAAUAAGGAAUAUUUCCUGCUUGAUACACAAAGACAGAAAGUAUGUCAAGGAAUUGGGGUCUGGUGUUUAACUAGUAAUUGAAGAAUGGGGCAAAAAUUCGAUUGGUCUUUGUCAUUGAUGUAGCCAAACAUGGCCCUGUGGUCCUCUAUUGUUAAUUACUGCAAUAUUUUCAUCGACAUCUUUCUUGCUAUUAUUAUUGCUAGAUUUAAUAAAGAACUUUGUAAGAAUGCAAACAACGAGACGCAUUUGCCAGAGUAAUACGGUACAAGCAUUUGGACAUGAAAAGGGUGAAAUUCGCAAAAUACAGCAGUGGUCUUUGUCAAGAUACCAAAUUUUCGCAAUGAUUGUACCCGAAAAACUAAAUGUUCCAAGAAUUUUCAGAGCCAGUGUGAUGAUAUCGAUUAUCUUGAUUAUUUAUUUGAGAUAUUUCUAAA